AUUUUUUUGUUUUCAAUUCUUUUCUAUGACUAUAAAUCUAAACAAGAAUGUUUUAUUUUUCAGGACCCAGGCAAGAUCCACCUCCGAAACAGGUGUACCGUCCACCGCAGCGGAAAACAGGGCCACCUGAACCUGCCAGACCAGAACCCAGAGAAAAUAGACCAGAACCGCCUCCUCCCGGCAAGGAAAAUAAGGAUGUUAAAAUAUCUUCGGAAAAAUGGGUCCCAUCUUUCCGUCGGGGGAAGACCGAAGGUGCAUCUAAUGGUGGUCCACGCAACUAGUUUAAGUACUUCUUUACUUAUUUUUCUAUAUAAUAAAUUUUUGUCAAUUUCCGACAUUACUCCUUUUUCUUUUUCUACUCCGCUCAUUUCUCCUGUCUUUAAUUUUAUUGUUGACUUUUGUAGCAUGUCAUACGUUUAUGGUAAUGAAAUAUAGGUUUUUUAAACUUCUGUUUUGAGAACAUGAUUGUGUGCCCCUUGGAAAGAAACUCAUGAAAAAAUAACAAUAGAAACAAGAAAUGAGGAUGUGUUAUUUUACCUCAGAAGCUUCUUGUUGUCGAGCUAGUGCACUAGAUAAGGUAUGAGUUAAAGCACUGCGUAACUUGUUCCCUCUCAAAAAUUUCACAAGGAAAGCGAAUCACACAAUGGGAAGGAAGAUUGGACAUCAACCUUUAAACAAUAUAUAGGUGUCUAGAAUUAACAUAAGUUAAAUGGCAUAAAUACAACUAAUGUCAUUAGUGUAUGAUCUAACUUCGAUUUGAUCUGUGUUAAAAACUUUGGUUUACAUCUUGUUCAGGAGUUAAGGUGAUUCGAUGGACGCCAUAUUUUGUGUCAGAACGGCAUGCAAUAUAUCGCGUCAAUUGGUUCCAUAUUUUCAGCUACUCGACAUUUUUCUCCUAUUUUGAAAUCGCAAUUCUGUUGUCAGGAGACUAAAGCACUCACUUACCAAUUUUAUCAAAGAAAUUCAACCUAAUAAAGGCGUGGUUUUUUCAGAGAGAAAAUAUCGCAUUCGAUACUGAUAUCGAAACUGCACUCGAAUGCGAUGUUUUCUCUCUGAAAAAACCACGCCUUUAUUAGGUUGAAUUUCUUUGUUAAAAUUGGUAAGUAAGUGCUUUAGACUCCUGACAACAGAAUUGCGAUUUCAAAACAGGAGAAAAAUGACGAGUAGCUGAAAAAAUGGAGCCAGUUGAUGCGAUAUAUCGCAUGCCGUUCUGACACAAAAUAUGGUGUCCAUCGAAUCACCUUAAUUUCCGAGGUUACAGUUGUGUGAUUCAUUUUCUAGGUGAGAUUUUGAAGAGGAAUCAUGUGACAUUUUCUCCUCGUUCAGACCUUGCCUAGUUUCCCAUAAACGAAUUUUACAGCUCUUCAACUCGCGUCUGCAUUUUUUGUCUCUUGUCAGAAUGCAGACUUAGUGCUUGCACUACAGAACAAACCAAACGAAGUGCAAACAAAAGAAGCGUGUAAUUAUCGAAAGUACAACUGUGCAAUUUCUUUGUAUGGCUAACGUGGCAGUUGAAAGUAUAAUUUUUUAGAACUAAUAAUGCUUGGUCCCAGAUGAGCUUUCCAGCUAUUGCUUUUCCGUUGCUUGAUACUGUUUUAAAUGGGUGCAAGAUGAAGUCAUCAGAAAUUGAAGGUAGGCAACUGCGACAAAAAUUAUAAGAUCGCAAAUGCUCUCUAUCGCUCACAUAGAGGUCAACACUUUGCAAACCAGCCAGGUCAAUUAUCGAAGUUUUUUUUUUUCCAUCUGAGUAAGGAGUGUGUGGUGAAUUGUGAUUACCCGAGCCGGAGGGACUGCAGCCAUUACCAUCGCCAGGGAUUGUUUUCACCACUUCAGUUUUU
rnacentral:lncRNA from 1 species